rnacentral:rRNA from 1 species
CCUACGGGCGGCUGCAGUGGGGAAUAUUGCACAAUGGGGGAAACCCUGAUGCAGCGACGCCGCGUGAAGGAAGAAGUAUCUCGGUAUGUAAACUUCUAUCAGCAGGGAAGAUAGUGACGGUACCUGACUAAGAAGCCCCGGCUAACUACGUGCCAGCAGCCGCGGUAAUACGUAGGGGGCAAGCGUUAUCCGGAUUUACUGGGUGUAAAGGGAGCGUAGACGGUGUGGCAAGUCUGAUGUGAAAGGCAUGGGCUCAACCCCGGGACUGCUUUGGAAACUGUUAAGCUGGAGUGCUGGAGAGGUAAGCGGAAUUCCUAGUGUAGCGGUGAAAUGCGUAGAUAUUAGGAGGAACACCAGUGGCGAAGGCGGCCUACUGGGCACCAACUGACGCUGAGGCUCGAAAGUGUGGGUAGCAAACAGGAUU